UACGUAGGGUGCAAGCGUUAAUCGGAUUUACUGGGCGUAAAGCGUGCGUAGGUGGUUUGUUAAGUCAGGUGUGAAAUCCCCGGGCUCAACCUGGGAACUGCGCUUGAAACUGGCAAGCUAGAGUGUGGUAGAGGGUAGUGGAAUUCCCGGUGUAGCGGUGAAAUGCGUAGAUAUCGGGAAGAACACCAGUGGCGAAGGCGGCUACCUGGACCAACACUGACACUGAGGCACGAAAGCGUGGGGAGCAAACAGG
rnacentral:rRNA from 1 species